rnacentral:lncRNA from 1 species
AGCUUCUCCUGUGGCACCAUGAAGCCCUUGAUAGCUCUGACUAGCUUCACCUGGCACCUCCUCUGCCCAUGAGCCUGGCCUGGGCAGUACUAUGGGCAUGCCACUGCCCCCGUCUCCUGAUGUAGGUGUUGAUUUCAGCUUUGGGGACACUGUGUGGUCACAGAUGUGUGGUCCCCAUGGAUGCCUGCCUGCUCAGCCAGGGGCAUCAUUGCGUUGGGCAAGCUGUGGCCUGGGCAGCGACAGUGGUGUCAGAGGACCCAUGGUGGAGCUUUGGAGGCUGGACUGAUGAGAGCAUCCUGCCCUGGUCCCUGGUUCCAGCCAGAGCCAACAAGUGAGAUGCAUGUGAAAAUGAAAGAGGUAUAUGGAGCAAUAAUAAAGUCCCUCUUGCCAAAUCUGAAAAAUGUCAUCUUGGAUUUCAUGAAAGAGCCACUGUAGGCAUGAUGGAGAUCUGUAAUGAAGGUCUGCUGCAACUGAAAUCCUGAAGAUUAACUGGGAUAUUAGUGUAAAAUCAAACUGACAUUGAUUAGUAACUGCAGCAUCUGGAGUAAGUUGGACUCAGAGCAAGCAGGUUUGUUUGGUAUUCUCCCAGCAUUACAAGUGCCGGGAUGCAUUU